CCACCACGGCCCCCUCGGUCUUCCCACUGGCCCCCAGCUGCGGGUCCACUUCCGGCUCCACGGUGGCCCUGGCCUGCCUGGUGUCAGGCUACUUCCCCGAGCCUGUAACCGUGUCCUGGAAUUACGGCUCCUUGACCAGCGGUGUGCACACCUUCCCGUCCGUCCUGCAGUCCUCAGGGCUCUACUCCCUCAGCAGCAUGGUGACAGUGCCCUCCAGCAGGUGGCCCAGCGAGACCUUCACCUGCAACGUGGCCCACCCGGCCAGCAACACUAAAGUAGACAAGCCAGUGGUCAAUGAAUGCAGAUGCAGUGAGAUACCCCCAUGCCCAGUCCCUGAACCUCUGGGAGGGCCUUCGGUCCUCAUCUUUCCCCCGAAACCCAAGGACAUCCUCAGGAUUACCCGAACACCCGAGGUCACCUGUGUGGUGUUAGAUCUGGGCCGUGAGGACCCUGAGGUGCAGAUCAGCUGGUUCGUGGAUGGUAAGCAGGUGCACGCAGCCAAGACCCAGCCUCGGGAGCAGCAGUUGAACAGCACGUACCGUGUGGUCAGCGUCCUCCCCAUCGAGCACCAGGACUGGCUCACCGGGAAGCAGUUCACGUGCAGAGUCAACCACAUAGGCCUCCCGUCCCCCAUCGAGAGGACCAUCUCCAAGGCCAGAGGGAGGGCCCAUAAGCCCAGUGUGUAUGUCCUGCCGCCAUCCCAAAGGGAGUUGUCAUCCAGUGACACAGUCAGCAUCACCUGCCUGGUCAAAGACUUCUACCCACCUGAGAUUGAUGUGGAGUGGCAGAGCAAUGGACAGCAGGAGCCCGAGAGGAAGCACCGCAUGACCCCGCCCCAGCUGGACGAGGACGGGUCCUACUUCCUGUACAGCAAGCUCUCUGUGGACAAGAGCCGCUGGCAGGGGGGAGACCCCUUCACAUGUGUGGUGAUGCACGAAACUCUACAGAACCACUACACAGAUCUCUCCCUCUCCCAUUCUCCGGAGCUGAUCCUGGAUGACAGCUGUGCUGAGGACCAGGACGGGGAGCUGGACGGGCUGUGGACCACCAUCACAAUCUUCAUCACCCUCUUCCUGCUCAGCGUGUGCUACAGCGCCACUGUCACCCUCUUCAAGGUGAAGUGGAUCUUCUCGUCAGUGGUGGAGCUGAAGCGCUCAAUUAUCCCCGACUACAGGAACAUGAUCGGACAGGGGGCCUAG